rnacentral:rRNA from 1 species
GGGUUGUGAGGUUAAGCGACUAAGCGUACACGGUGGAUGCCCUGGCAGUCAGAGGCGAUGAAGGACGUGCUAAUCUGCGAAAAGCGUCGGUAAGGUGAUAUGAACCGUUAUAACCGGCGAUGUCCGAAUGGGGAAACCCAGUGCAAUUCGUUGCACUAUCGUUAACUGAAUACAUAGGUUAACGAGGCGAACCGGGGGAACUGAAACAUCUAAGUACCCCGAGGAAAAGAAAUCAACCGAGAUUCCCCCAGUAGCGGCGAGCGAACGGGGAGCAGCCCAGAGUCUGAAUCAGCUUGUGUGUUAGUGGAACGGUCUGGAAAGUCCGACGGUACAGGGUGAUAGUCCCGUACACCAAAAUGCACAGGCUGUGAACUCGAAGAGUAGGGCGGGACACGUGGUAUCCUGUCUGAAUAUGGGGACCAUCCUCCAAGGCUAAAUACUCCUGACUGACCGAUAGUGAACCAGUACCGUGAGGGAAAGGCGAAAAGAACCCCGGCGAGGGAGUGAAAAGAACCUGAAACCGUGUACGUACAAGCAGUGGGAGCACCUUCGGUGUGUGACCUUUUGUAUAAUGGGUCAGCGACUUAUAUUCUGUAGCAAGGUUAACCGUAUAGGGAGCCGCAGGGAAACCGAGUCUUAACUGGGCGUUAAGUUGCAGGGUAUAGACCCGAAACCCGGUGAUCAGCCAUGGGCAGGUUGAAGGUUGGGUAACACUAACUGGAGGACCGAACCGACUAAUGUUGAAAAAUUAGCGGAUGACUUGUGGCUGGGGUGAAAGGCCAAUCAAACCGGGAGAUAGCUGGUUCUCCCCGAAAGCUAUUUAGGUAGCGCCUCGUGAACUCAUCUUCGGGGUAGAGCACUGUUUCGGCUAGGGGUCAUCCCGACUUACCAACCCGAUGCAAACUACGAAUACCGAAGAAUGUUAUCACGGGAGACACACGGCGGGUGCUAACGUCCGUCGUGAAGAGGGAAACAACCCAGACCGCCAGCUAAGGUCCCAAAGUCAUGGUUAAGUGGGAAACGAUGUGGGAAGGCACAGACAGCCGUGAUGUUGGCUUAGAAGCAGCCAUCAUUUAAAGAAAGCGUAAUAGCUCACUGGUCGAGUCGGCCUGCGCGGAAGAUGUAACGGGGCUAAACCAUGCACCGAAGCUGCGGCAGCGACACUAUGUGUUGUUGGGUAGGGGAGCGUUCUGUAAGCCUGCGAAGGUGUGCUGUGAGGCAUGCUGGAGGUAUCAGAAGUGCGAAUGCUGACAUAAGUAACGAUAAAGCGGGUGAAAAGCCCGCUCGCCGGAAGACCAAGGGUUCCUGUCCAACGUUAAUCGGGGCAGGGUGAGUCGACCCCUAAGGCGAGGCCGAAAGGCGUAGUCGAUGGGAAACAGGUUAAUAUUCCUGUACUUGGUGUUACUGCGAAGGGGACGGAGAAGGCUAUGUUAGCCGGGCGACGGUUGUCCCGGUUUAAGCAUGUAGGCUGAUUGUCCAGGCAAAUCCGGAUAAUCAAGGCUGAGGUGUGAUGACGAGGCACUACGGUGCUGAAGUAACAAAUGCCCUGCUUCCAGGAAAAGCCUCUAAGCAUCAGGUAACAUCAAAUCGUACCCCAAACCGACACAGGUGGUCAGGUAGAGAAUACCAAGGCGCUUGAGAGAACUCGGGUGAAGGAACUAGGCAAAAUGGUGCCGUAACUUCGGGAGAAGGCACGCUGGUGUGUAGGUGAAGUCCCUGCGGAUGGAGCUGAGACCAGUCGAAGAUACCAGCUGGCUGCAACUGUUUAUUAAAACACAGCACUGUGCAAACACGAAAGUGGACGUAUACGGUGUGACGCCUGCCCGGUGCCGGAAGGUUAAUUGAUGGGGUUAUCCGUAAGGAGAAGCUCUUGAUCGAAGCCCCGGUAAACGGCGGCCGUAACUAUAACGGUCCUAAGGUAGCGAAAUUCCUUGUCGGGUAAGUUCCGACCUGCACGAAUGGCGUAAUGAUGGCCAGGCUGUCUCCACCCGAGACUCAGUGAAAUUGAACUCGCUGUGAAGAUGCAGUGUACCCGCGGCAAGACGGAAAGACCCCGUGAACCUUUACUAUAGCUUGACACUGAACAUUGAGCCUUGAUGUGUAGGAUAGGUGGGAGGCUUUGAAGCGUGGACGCCAGUCUGCGUGGAGCCAACCUUGAAAUACCACCCUUUAAUGUUUGAUGUUCUAACGUUGGCCCCUGACCGGGGUUGCGGACAGUGUCUGGUGGGUAGUUUGACUGGGGCGGUCUCCUCCCAAAGCGUAACGGAGGAGCACGAAGGUUAGCUAAUCUGGUCGGACAUCAGGAGGUUAGUGCAAUGGCAUAAGCUAGCUUGACUGCGAGCGUGACGGCGCGAGCAGGUGCGAAAGCAGGUCAUAGUGAUCCGGUGGUUCUGAAUGGAAGGGCCAUCGCUCAACGGAUAAAAGGUACUCCGGGGAUAACAGGCUGAUACCGCCCAAGAGUUCAUAUCGACGGCGGUGUUUGGCACCUCGAUGUCGGCUCAUCACAUCCCGGGCUGAAGUAGGUCCCAAGGGUAUGGCUGUUCGCCAUUUAAAGUGGUACGCGAGCUGGGUUUAGAACGUCGUGAGACAGUUCGGUCCCUAUCUGCCGUGGGCGCUGGAGAAUUGAGGGGCUGCUCCUAGUACGAGAGGACCGGAGUGGACGCAUCACUGGUGUUCGGGUUGUCAUGCCAAUGGCACUGCCCGGUAGCUAAAUGCGGAAGAGAUAAGUGCUGAAAGCAUCUAAGCACGAAACUUGCCCCGAGAUGAGUUCUCCUGAGACUUUAAGUCUCCUGAAGGAACGUUAAAGACGAUGACGUUGAUAGGCCGGGUGUGUAAGCGCAGCGAUGCGUUGAGCUAACCGGUACUAAUGAACCGUGAGGCUUAACCUUACAACGCCGAAG